AUAAUUACAAAAGGCGGUUCUCUUCGUCUCGUCUGUUGGUUGCUGCUGAGACCGGUUUCAGUGUGAAGUUAAAGAAGGGAGUUUUUCAUCGUGCACCAUUUUAAGUGAUAUGAGACAAGAACAUGUGGAAAUUCAGUCCAGCCAACUGAAGUCCGAACCCUUGUGCUUCGAGGACUACCUGUCAUACUUGGAGAUGAUGACUCUGCUUUCUUUAAGUCAUGUUUAGUGUCUGAUCAUCGCAACUCUAUCCUUGAUGUGCCAGUGGGGAUCUUAUUUGAAGACACCAAUCUUCAGCCCCCCAACUCCUUGCAUUUGACUUCCUCUAUAGGGAUAAUACUUGAUAAUACUUGAUACACCACAUCACAGGUGGUGAUGGACAAAAUGCAGGACCUCCCACAAGCAAUGUGUCUUCUCUUUGGUCUUAUUUAUGCAUUAGACCUGAAUUACCCAAAAUCACUCACAAACACGUUUGAUUUCAUACAGUGUGUACUGAUGUCAGUGGGGCAGAACACCCUCAAGUCUAAAGUUCAGUCUUUGGCAAACCAGCUUUUUGUUUAAGAAAAAUGUUUAGGUCUCAUUGUUGCAGAUUUUGAGUCCGCAUUGUUACAUUUACAUGCUCAGUACCUAUUAACAUAAUUGUGAGACCAUUUUUUUUUUCUCAAAUUAACCCCAGUAUCCAUUAACAAAGGAUAAAAAGUAUAAUGUUUGAAUGGUAUAAGUGCACAGAGUUCUACCAUUGUAGUGCACUAGUUAAUGUGGGACAUUGUUACCACCUGUACAGUGUGGUUGUGACUAAAUUCCAUUUCCAUUACAGUAGGGUGUGUA